CAGGGUGAGGGAUCCAGAGCUUCAAAAGGCAAAGAAUUAGUGUCGAGGCCAGUUUGCCACCUGAUCCCGCACUUCCUAAGCACAGAAGUCUGAACUAAAUAACUCAACAGUUUCGACCUGAGACUUGGAAACUCGUAACAGCGUUAAUAACAAACUCUCGGCGGCACUUGCUGCAAACUGAGGCUUGCAUGGAAAAUAACAAUUGGCUUGAGUUUGCUACCAGCAUAGCAGAGUGUGUGGCCGAAGACACUCUGUGCGCAGCUUAUGACCACGGUUAGUCAAUGAGCAGCAUUUCAAACAUGGAACCUUUGGCACGCUAAUCACACGCCGCUCAGGCAGUCCUGGGGUGAAUUAAUGUCUUCGCUUCAUUUUGUCAAGCGCCUGCCUGUGCACGCCAGCAGCCGCCGUCCCGCCCCACCCCGCAGCACAUCUCGUCCCAGCACCACACGGAAUGCUGGGCGCCGCAAUCAGAUUCUGGCAGACUUCGCCUCCCCCCACCCACCACGAGCGGAGGCCAUAUCGCCGCGUAAGGGUCCAGCCGCUAAUGGGAGAAGGUUCCUCUGAGCGGCUCCUUGUGAGUGUUAAGGGGCCCAUCGAUCUCUCUGUGGCUGCCAAGAGACGACCGUCAGACAAAACAAAAAGAUGGUUCCGCUGCUUCUGAGGAUGUUGAUUGCCUUGACUGAAGAAAGCACUUCAGUGUUCUAGACUUCUCAAUACACGUCCAUGGCAGUAGACGUGUUAAGGCUUUCAUGUCUUGUCUGUCCACAAAGAAGUCAGACUGACAGCUGUAUCCUAGUUUCCUUAUCU